rnacentral:lncRNA from 1 species
CAAGACAGGUCAAGGCUUCACGGUGAGUUCUAGGUUCUGAAUCUGGAUCUUCCACAACCUUAUCAAAAUGUUCUUCAAGGUAGACAAAAUGUUCUAGGUAAAGAGGUGGUCUACUGACUCGGUUACUUUGUCUUGGUUCAGGUAAAUGUUCACUUUCUUUAGGGAGUUCAAAAACAGGUUGGGUUGGUUUAGAAGUUUUAGGUUCAGGGUCUCAAACUACAUCCUUGUUUUUAGCCUCAUCAUAAAAGUUGGCUUGUUUUCUACUCACCCUUGCUUCAAGGACCUCUUCCUCAAAGAAGUGAGCAUCACG